rnacentral:rRNA from 1 species
GACGAACGCUGGCGGCGUGCCUAACACAUGCAAGUCGAACGGAGCAGAUCCCUUCGGGGGUUUGCUUAGUGGCGAGCGGGUGAGUAACGCGUGAGGAACCUGCCUUUCAGUGGGGGACAACAGUUGGAAACGACUGCUAAUACCGCAUAAGCGCACGGAACCGCAUGGUUCUGUGUGAAAAACUCCGGUGGUAUAAGAUGGACCCGCGUUGGAUUAGCUUGUUGGUGGGGUAACGGCCCACCAAGGCGACGAUCCAUAGCCGGCCUGAGAGGGUGAACGGCCACAUUGGGACUGAGACACGGCCCCAA